rnacentral:rRNA from 1 species
CACGUAGGCACCAAGCGUUAUCCGGAUUUAUUGGGCGUAAAGAGCUCGUAGGCGGUUCGGUAAGUCGGGUGUGAAAACUCUGGGCUCAACCCAGAGAGGCCACCCGAUACUGCUGUGACUAGAGUGCGGUAGGGGAGCGGGGAAUUCCUGGUGUAGCGGUGAAAUGCGCAGAUAUCAGGAGGAACACCGAUGGCGAAGGCAGCCCCCUGGGCCAACACUGACGCUCAGGCACGAAAGCGUGGGGAGCAAACAGG